rnacentral:rRNA from 1 species
UAUGGCCUACGGGGGGCAGCAGUGGGGAAUAUUGCACAAUGGGGGAAACCCUGAUGCAGCGACGCCGCGUGAGUGAAGAAGUAUUUCGGUAUGUAAAGCUCUAUCAGCAGGGAAGAAGAAGGACGGUACCUGAGUAGGAAGCUCCGGCUAACUACGUGCCAGCAGCCGCGGUAAUACGUAGGGGGCAAGCGUUAUCCGGAUUUACUGGGUGUAAAGGGAGCGUAGACGGCGAAGAAAGUCUGAAGUGAAAGCCCGCGGCUCAACCGCGGACUGGCUUUGGAAACUUUUUUUCUGGAGUACCGGGG